rnacentral:rRNA from 1 species
GACGAACGCUGGCGGCGUGCCUAACACAUGCAAGUCGAGCGGAGAUAGGCGGAAGGUAACUGAAGCUUAUCUUAGCGGCGGACGGGUGAGUAACACGUGGGCAACCUGCCUUGAAGUGGGGGAUAACACCGGGAAAUCGGUGCUAAUACCGCAUGACAUUAGAGCUUCGCAUGGAGCUUUAAUCAAAGGAGUAAUCCGCUUUAGGAUGGGCCCGCGUCUGAUUAGCUAGUUGGUGAGGUAGAGGCUCACCAAGGCGACGAUCAGUAGCCGAUCUGAGAGGAUGACCGGCCACACUGGAACUGAGACACGGUCCAGACUCCUACGGGAGGCAGCAGUGGGGAAUAUUGCACAAUGGGGGAAACCCUGGAUGCAGCAACGCCGCGUGGAGGAAGAAAGGUUUUCGGGAUUGUAAAACUCCUGUCUUUUGGGUACGAUAAAUGACGGUAACCAAAAGAGGAAAGCCAACGGCGUAACUACGUCCAGCAGCCGCGGUAAAAGUCAACGUCG